rnacentral:rRNA from 1 species
UCUAGAGGCUUUGACAAUGCCCGAAAGGGUGAUCAAGCGACGCCGCGUGCGGGAUGAAGGUCUUCGGAUUGUAAACCGCUUUUGUUUGGGGAGAAGGCCCUGCUCGUGAAGCAGGGAUUGACGGUACCAGACGAAUAAGCCCCGGCUAACUCCGUGCCAGCAGCCGCGGUAAGACGGAGGGGGCAAGCGUUGUUCGGAAUUAUUGGGCGUAAAGGGCUCGUAGGCGGAUCUGAAAGUCUGAUGUGAAAUCUCCACCGCUCACCGGGGAGGGGCCAUUGGAUACUGCAGAUCUGGAGUUCGGUAGAGGGUCGUGGAAUUUCGGGUGUAGCGGUGGAAUGCGUAGAUAUCCGAAAGAACACCGGUGGCGAAGGCGGCGACCUGGGCCUGAACUGACGCUGAGGAGCGAAAGCUAGGGGAGCAAA